UGGGGAAUAUUGGACAAUGGGGGGAACCCUGAUCCAGCCAUGCCGCGUGUGUGAAGAAGGCCUUAUGGUUGUAAAGCACUUUAAGCGAGGAGGAGGGUACUGGUAUUAAUACUACCAGGUACUGGACGUUACUCGCAGAAUAAGCACCGGCUAACUCUGUGCCAGCAGCCGCUGUAAUACAGAGGGUGCGAGCGUUAAUCGGAUUUACUGGGCGUAAAGCGUGCGUAGGCGGCUAAUUGAGUCGGAUGUGAAAUCCCCGAGCUUAACUUGGGAAUUGCAUUCGAUACUGGUUAGCUAGAGUGUGGGAGAGGAUGGUAGAAUUCCAGGUGUAGCGGUGAAAUGCGUAGAGAUCUGGAGGAAUACCGAUGGCGAAGGCAGCCAUCUGGCCUAACACUGACGCUGAGGUACGAAAGCAUGGGGAGCAAACAGG
rnacentral:rRNA from 1 species